GACGAACGCUGGCGGCGUGCUUAACACAUGCAAGUCGAACGCGCCUGUCCUCUGGGUUUCUGGGGGGUGGGUGAGUGGCGAACGGGUGAGUAACACGUGAGUAACCUGCCCCCUUCUUCGGGAUAACGGUCUGAAAGGGCUGCUAAUACCGGGUAUUCACUGGUCUCCGCAUGGGGUCUGGUGGAAAGGUUUUUUUCUGGUGGGGGAUGGGCUCGCGGCCUAUCAGCUUGUUGGUGGGGUGAUGGCCCACCAAGGCUUUGACGGGUAGCCGGCCUGAGAGGGUGACCGGUCACAUUGGGACUGAGAUACGGCCCAGACUCGUACGGGAGGCAGCAGUGGGGAAUAUUGCCCAAUGGGCGAAAGCCUGAUGCAGCGACGCCGCGUGAGGGAUGGAGGCCUUCGGGUUGUGAACCUCUUUCGCCCGUGGUCAAGCCGCGACGUGGGUCGUGGUGAGGGUAGUGGGUAAAGAAGCGCCGGCUAACUACGUG
rnacentral:rRNA from 1 species